GCUGGGCGUGGUGGUGGGCGCCUGUAAUCCCAGCUACUUGGAAGGCUGAGGCGGGAGAAUCACUUGAACCCGGGAGGCAGAGGUUGCAGUGAGCCGAGAUCACGCCACUGCACUCCUGCCUGGGCAACAGAGUGAGACUCUGCCUCAA
rnacentral:SRP_RNA from 2 species